CCUGCAUCAGCUGCACAUGCUCUGGGUGGGAGCUGACAAUAUUUCCAUUUAUUCCUCAGCUUGGCUGGAGAAACAGCCCCUGAUUUCUCUGAGUCACUGCUGACAUCCUGCCCUGCUCCAGCACUUCCUCAUUCACAGGAGCUCCUUGCAGCAGCACGCCUGGAUCUCAGCACGUGCAGAGGGGACACAGGGAGACUCCACAGAGCCUUCCCUCCCUCUCAGGACAAAGCAAGUGCCUCCUAUGGAAGCUGAGCCUCCCUAAGCAGCCACCAGAGGUGACAGUCCAGGUGCUGGGACAUGUCCAUGACUGAGCUUUGCUUCAACAACAGAGACACAAGUAGCAGCUGAAGUGUCUGGUGAAUCUCCUGACAGAUUCCCAAGGGCUGGGAGGCACAAAAAUGAAAUGGUAAGUUAUGCUUUUCCUUGGGCUGUGAAGGAGCUGAAGGAAUUUGGGAGCAGAAGGGAUUUCAUUUA
rnacentral:lncRNA from 1 species